CCUCUGAGAACAACUGCUUUAACCGAGACCUAUGAGCAGUAUAAGCAUUAGUCUCUCAUAUCCAUCAGUGAAGGGAUUGGUGGAAAUAUAGUUUCGC
rnacentral:ncRNA from 1 species